rnacentral:miRNA from 1 species
CUGUGUCGGGGAGUCUGGGAUCUGGAAUUCUCCAGAGCAUCUGUGCCCCUACUUCCCAG